rnacentral:rRNA from 1 species
GAUGAACGCUGGCGGCGUGCCUAAUACAUGCAAGUCGAGCGAAUGGAUUAAGGGCUUGCUCUUAUGAAGUUAGCGGCGGACGGGUGAGUAACACGUGGGUAACCUGCCCAUAAGACUGGGAUAACUCCGGGAAACCGGGGCUAAUACCGGAUAAUAUUUUGAACUGCAUGGUUCAAAAUUGAAAGGCGGCUUCGGCUGUCACUUAUGGAUGGACCCGCGUCGCAUUAGCUAGUUGGUGAGGUAACGGCACACCAAGGCAACGAUGCGUAGCCGACCUGAGAGGGUGAUCGGCCACACUGGGACUGAGACACGGCCCAGACUCCUACGGGAGGCAGCAGUAGGGAAUCUUCCGCAAUGGACGAAAGUCUGACGGAGCAACGCCGCGUGAGUGAUGAAGGCUUUCGGGUCGUAAAACUCUGUUGUUAGGGAAGAACAAGUGCUAGUUGAAUAAGCUGGCACCUUGACGGUACCUAACCAGAAAGCCACGGCUAACUACGUGCCAGCCGCCGCCGUAA